AUGAGCAAUGAUUGGGAGGAUAUGUUUCCUCUUGUUAAUAUGAAAAAGCUCGUUAGGGAGGUAUCUGGCCACAAUGCUCUCCUAUUGUACUCUGAUAAUCAUGUUAUCAGAGCCCCACAAAAGAGAGAGUUUAGAUUUGAGUUGAGCUGGUUAAAAUCUGAGGAUUUUGUUCCUUUAGUUAGCAGGAUUUGGAAUCAAAAAGUGAAUGCUACUGAUCCUAUUGAUAUUUUGAAUAUCAAACUUAAACGAUUUAAGAAGUUUUUAAAGGCUGGGGAUCGCAUAAAUUCGGUCAUGAGAAAAAAGAAAGCAAGAGAUUAG
rnacentral:rRNA from 1 species